GACGAACGCUGGCGGCGUGCUUAACACAUGCAAGUCGAACGAAGAGCGAUGGAAGCUUGCUUCUAUCAAUCUUAGUGGCGAACGGGUGAGUAACGCGUAAUCAACCUGCCCUUCAGAGGGGGACAACAGUUGGAAACGACUGCUAAUACCGCAUACGAUCUAACCUCGGCAUCGAGGAUAGAUGAAAGGUGGCCUCUACAUGUAAGCUAUCACUGAAGGAGGGGAUUGCGUCUGAUUAGCUAGUUGGAGGGGUAACGGCCCACCAAGGCGAUGAUCAGUAGCCGGUCUGAGAGGAUGAACGGCCACAUUGGGACUGAGACACGGCCCAGACUCCUACGGGAGGCAGCAGUGGGGAAUCUUCCGCAAUGGACGAAAGUCUGACGGAGCAACGCCGCGUGAGUGAUGACGGCCUUCGGGUUGUAAAGCUCUGUUAAUCGGGACGAAAGGCCUUCUUGCGAAUAGUGAGAAGGAUUGACGGUACCGGAAGAGAAAGCCACGGCUAACUAUGUG
rnacentral:rRNA from 1 species